AGAGUUUGAUCCUGGCUCAGGAUGAACGCUAGCGGCAGGCUUAAUACAUGCAAGUCGUGGGGCAGCGCGGGUAGCAAUACCUGGCGGCGACCGGCAAACGGGUGCGGAACACGUACGCAACCUUCCUUUAAGCGGGGAAUAGCCCAGGGGAAACUUGGAUUAAUACCCCAUAAGAUAAUCGGGUGGCAUCACCUGACUAUUAAAGCUCCGGCACUUAAAGAUGGGCGUGCGGCUGAUUAGGUAGUUGGCGGGGUAACGGCCCACCAAGCCGACGAUCAGUAACUGGUGUGAGAGCACGACCAGUCACACGGGCACUGAGACACCGGCCCGACUCCUACGGGAGGCAGCAGUAAGGAAUAUGGGUCCAUGGACGCAAGUCUGAACCAACCAUGCCCGCGUGGAGGAUGAUAGGCCCUCUGGGGUUGUAAACUUCUUU
rnacentral:rRNA from 1 species